GGACUCUCCUCUGCUGCUGCUUUACAGAGUCCAGAGGACAGGUCACAGUGACUCAGCCUGGAGCAGUGAGCUCUGCUGUGGGAGGAACUGUCUCCAUCUCAUAAAUCCUUCUGACUGAUUUCUGGCAUCCAGUCCGUUGUUCAAAGACAAACUGUCUCCAUCAGAUGAAAAGUCAGUCAAAGUCCUGCUGCAGCUUCAACUGGGAUCUUCAGAGACAAAAGAAGUUUUUGUUCAAGACAACAGACCUGAUGAGCAAAGAAACAAUGGAGGUGAAAAACAGACAGACAGUUAUAUACAUAUAACUACAUAAAAAGUGCUUUGAUGUGAGAGUCCAGAUGAGGACGCACAUCACACUCAUGUUUUGGAGGAAGAUGAGGAGGAAGAGGAGGAGGAUUUCUGUGUCUUCUGCUGUGAUGAAGGACAGCUGUCAGUCAUCCAGUCUUCAACUCUCAGGACUAUAAAGUCUCCCAGAGCACUGGAGCAUGGAGCUGCUGAUGCAAAGUGUCU